UACGUAGGGUGCGAGCGUUGUCCGGAAUUAUUGGGCGUAAAGGGCUCGUAGGUGGCCAACUAAGUCAGACGUGAAAUCCCUCGGCUUAACCGGGGAACUGCGUCUGAUACUGGAUGGCUUGAGUGUGGGAGAGGGAUGCGGAAUUCCAGGUGUAGCGGUGAAAUGCGUAGAUAUCUGGAGGAACACCGGUGGCGAAGGCGGCAUCCUGGACCACGACUGACGCUGAGUGAGCGAAAGCCAGGGGAGCAAACGGG
rnacentral:rRNA from 1 species